rnacentral:rRNA from 1 species
GACGAACGCUGGCGGCGUGCUUAACACAUGCAAGUCGAACGAUGAACCCGGAGCUUGCUCCGGUGGAUUAGUGGCGAACGGGUGAGUACCACGUGAGUAACCUGCCCUUGACUCUGGGAUAACUGCGGGAAACUGUAGCUAAUACCGGAUACGACCCUCGGCGGCAUCGCCAGGGGGUGGAAAGAAUUUCGGUCAAGGAUGAACUCGCGGCCUCUCAGCUAGUUGGUGAGGUACCGACUCACCAAGGCGACGACGGGUAGCCGGCCUGAGAGGGGGACCGGCCACACUGGGACUGGGACACGGCCCAGACUCCUACGGGAGGCAGCGGUGGGGAAGAUUGCACAAUGGGCGCAAGCCUGAUGCAGCAACGCCGCGUGAGGGAUGACGGCCUUCGGGUUGUAAACCUCUUUUAGUAGGGAAGAAGCGAAAGUGACGGUACCUGCAGAAAAAGCACCGGCUAACUACGUGCCAGCCGCCGCCGUAA